rnacentral:tRNA from 1 species
GCCCGAGUGGUGUAGUGGUAUCAUGUCCCACUCCUACUGGCAAGAUAGCUGGUUCAACUUCAGCCACGGGCA